GUGAAGAUGCAGUGUACCCGCGGCAAGACGGAAAGACCCCGUGAACCUUUACUAUAGCUUGACACUGAACAUUGAGCCUUGAUGUGUAGGAUAGGUGGGAGGCUUAGAAGUGUGGACGCCAGUCUGCAUGGAGCCGACCUUGAAAUACCACCCUUUAAUGUUUGAUGUUCUAACGUUGACCCGUAAUCCGGGUUGCGGACAGUGUCUGGUGGGUAGUUUGACUGGGGCGGUCUCCUCCUAAAGAGUAACGGAGGAGCACGAAGGUUGGCUAAUCCUGGUCGGACAUCAGGAGGUUAGUGCAAUGGCAUAAGCCAGCUUGACUGCGAGCGUGACGGCGCGAGCAGGUGCGAAAGCAGGUCAUAGUGAUCCGGUGGUUCUGAAUGGAAGGGCCAUCGCUCAACGGAUAAAAGGUACUCCGGGGAUAACAGGCUGAUACCGCCCAAGAGUUCAUAUCGACGGCGGUGUUUGGCACCUCGAUGUCGGCUCAUCA
rnacentral:rRNA from 1 species